GCGUGGGUUGCUCAGGGUAGAGCAUCGGGUUGAAGUUCCGAGUGUCGAUGGUUCGAUUCCAUCUCCAUGCAUCA
rnacentral:tRNA from 1 species